rnacentral:rRNA from 1 species
GUGUCAGCAGCCGCGGUAAUACGUAGGGUGCGAGCGUUAAUCGGAAUUACUGGGCGUAAAGCGUGCGCAGGCGGUUCGUUAAGUUCGAUGUGAAAGCCCCGGGCUCAACCUGGGAACUGCAUUGGAAACUGGCGAGCUUGAGUGUGGCAGAGGGGGGUGGAAUUCCGCGUGUAGCAGUGAAAUGCGUAGAGAUGCGGAGGAACACCGAUGGCGAAGGCAGCCCCCUGGGCCAACACUGACGCUCAGGCACGAAAGCGUGGGGAGCAAACAGGAUUAGAUACCCUGGUAGUCCACGCCCUAAACGAUGCUCACUAGGUGUUGGGGAAGCGAUUCCUUGGUACCGUAGCUAACGCGUGAAGUGAGCCGCCUGGGGAGUACGGCCGCAAGGUUAAAACUUAAAUGAAUUGACGG